rnacentral:lncRNA from 1 species
AUGGAGAGGGAGAGGGAGCGGGAGAGGGAGCGGGAGAUGCACGCGGCCGGUCUGGAUGUUUGUGGGAACAUUGUGGGUCGAGGAGUGAGCGAGAAGACCAGUGUUGGCGUGAACCACCACCAUAACAGAGAGAUGGCCGCCGCCAGAACUGACAGUGAAAACAAUCUGGCCAGCCAUAACCCUCCAAACCACAACCCACCCAAGAUCAUGGCAGUGUCAGGAAAACUGGAGCAGGCAAUGCAGAGCAGCUCUGGUCUAGUUCGUCCGUCUGCCUUUAAGCCGGUGGUUCCUAAAAGCUUCCACUCCAUGCAGAACCUGGUGGGCCAGGCGGGAGGGGCCGGGGGCGAGGGAAAGGCUGAGGCCAGAGGUGAAGGGUUUGCAGAGGGCAGAGUAGGUAGGAGAGGCAGAGAUGGAGGAGGAGGAGGAGGAGCAGUAGACACAGGGGAGGUGCCAGAGGCCCUUCUCCUGGACCAGGACAGUCCAGUCAGGGUGAGCAGGAGUGAAGGAGGGGGGAACAGUAUUGAAGUGGUUCAGGGAGGGAUGUCAGAUUCCUGGGAGAAAUUCCCUGACCAGCCUCCCCACAUACACCGGCUCGGGGUCAGGUUGUGGGCCCCCGGCAGUCCUGGGGCCACUCAGUGCUUCCACCAGCCACAUCAACAGGUUGGGCAUGGCUGGGGUAGCUGCAGGCCUGGACAAGCUAGAGAAACCCGGCUAUCAGGUACAGCUGCACUCGUUCAUUUUAGUUUGUUGUUGCAGGACUUUUUGUAGCAUCAUCCUAUUAUCUUCUCUCCAGAAUGGACUCAGCGCAUCAGACAGUGGGCGGUCUUCCUCUGGGAAGAGCUCCUCCUCCUAUCAGAGGCUGAGCCACCUGAGCGACGCCCCAGGACCUCUGCGCCCCUCUCCCUCCUCUGAUGACAUCAUCCAGGACCUUGAAGACCGCUUAUGGGAAAAAGAACAGGAGGUAUGAGUUGACUAGAUUGAGAAGAAUUUAAGGAUGUUUAGUUUAUGGAGCAGUUUAAAAAAAAAGAAAUGAUAGCGUGUGCAGGGGUGGACUUACCAUUAGGCAAAG